AUCGCUUCUCGGCCUUUUGGCCAAGAUCAAGCGUGGUAUCUGUUCUUAUCAGUUUAGUGUCUGAUACGUUCUCUAUCUGAGGACAGUAUAUUAAAUGGAUUUUUGGAGCAGGGAGGUGGAAUAGGAGCUUGCUCUGUCUACUCCACGCAUCAGCCUGGUGUUGCAGGACUUCCAGGAACAGGGCACCCCCA
rnacentral:snRNA from 1 species